rnacentral:rRNA from 1 species
CCUACGGGAGGCAGCAGUGAGGAAUAUUGGUCAAUGGACGAGAGUCUGAACCAGCCAAGUAGCGUGAAGGAUGACUGCCCUAUGGGUUGUAAACUUCUUUUAUAAGGGAAUAAAACGAGGCACGUGUGCCUUUUUGCAUUUACUUUAUGAAUAAGGAUCGCCUAACUCCGUGCCAUCAGCCGCGGUAAUACGGCGGGUCCGAUCGUUAUCCGGAUUUAUUGGGUUUAAAGGGAGCGUAGGUGGUUUGUUAAGUCAGUUGUGAAAGUUUGCGGCUCAACCGUAAAAUUGCAAUUGAUACUGGCAGUCUUGAGUACAGUUGAGGUAGGCGGAAUUCGUGGUGUAGCGGUGAAAUGCUUAGAGAUCACGAAGAACCCCGAUUGCGAAGGCAGCUUACUAAACUGUGACUGACAUUGAUGCUCGAAAGUGUGGGUAUCAAACAGGAUUAGAUACCCGAGUAGUC